AGAGUUUGAUCCUGGCUCAGAAUGAACGCUGGCGGCGUGCUUAACACAUGCAAGUCGUACGAGAACGCUUCAGCUUGCUGAAGCUAGUAAAGUGGCGCACGGGUGAGUAACGCGUGGGUAAUCUACCUCCGAAUUGGGGAUAACGUUGCGAAAGCGACGCUAAUACCGGAUAAUAUCGAGAGGACUUCGGUUUUUUCGAUCAAAGGUGGCCUCUUCAUGAAAGCUACUGUUUGGAGAUGAGCCCGCGUCCCAUUAGCUUGUUGGUGGGGUAAAAGCCCACCAAGGCCGCGAUGGGUAGCUGGUCUGAGAGGAUGAUCAGCCACACUGGAACUGACACACGGUCCAGACUCCUACGGGAGGCAGCAGUGAGGAAUUUUGCGCAAUGGGGGAAACCCUGACGCAGCAACGCCGCGUGAGUGAUGGAGGCUUUCGGGUCGUAAAGCUCUGUCAAGUGGGAAGAAUCCACGUGGUGCUAAUAUCACCAUGUGCUGACGGUACCACUGAAGGAAGCACCGGCUAACUCCGUGCCAGCAGCCGCGGUAAUACGGGGGGUGCAAGCGUUAUUCGGAUUUACUGGGCGUAAAGCGCGCGUAGGCGGCCGUUUAAGUCAGAUGUGAAAGCCCGGGGCUCAACCCUGGAAGUGCAUUUGAUACUAUUCGGCUUGAGUAUGGGAGAGGGAAGUGGAAUUCCUGGUGUAGAGGUGAAAUUCGUAGAUAUCAGG
rnacentral:rRNA from 1 species